rnacentral:rRNA from 1 species
AACGCGAAGAACCUUACCUACCCUUGACAUCCCAGGAACGCUGCAGAAAUGUAGUGGUGCCGAAAGGAACCUGGAGACAGGUGCUGCAUGGCUGUCGUCAGCUCGUGUUGUGAGAUGUUGGGUUAAGUCCCGUAACGAGCGCAACCCUUGUCCUUAGUUACCAGCACGUAAAGGUGGGGACUCUAAGGAGACUGCUGGUGAAGAACCGGAGGAAGGCGGGGACGACGUCAAGUCAUCAUGGCCUUUAUGGGUAGGGCCACACACGUGCUACAAUGGGGCGUACAGAGGGAAGCCAACCCGCGAGGGGGAGCCGAUCCCGGAAAGCGCGUCGUAGUCCGGAUUGAAGUCUGCAACUCGACUUCAUGAAGUUGGAAUCGCUAGUAAUCGCGAAUCAGCAUGUCGCGGUGAAUACGUUCCCGGGCCUUGUACACACCGUACGUC